GAUGAACGCUGGCGGCGUGCCUAAUACAUGCAAGUCGAGCGAACAGAUGAGGAGCUUGCUCCUCUGACGUUAGCGGCGGACGGGUGAGUAACACGUGGAUAACCUCCCUAUCAGACUGGGAUAACUUCGGGAAACCGGAGCUAAUACCGGAUAAUAUAUUGAACCGCAUGGUUCAAUAGUGAAAGACGGUUUUGCUGUCACUUAUAGAUGGAUCCGCGCCGCAUUAGCUGGUUGGUAAGGUAACGGCUUACCAAGGCGACGAUGCGUAGCCGACCUGAGAGGGGGGUCGGCCACCUGGGAACGGGAACAGGGUCCAUACUCCUACGGGAGGCAGCAGUAGGGAAUCUUCCGCAAAGGGCGAAAGCCUGGCGGAGCAACGCCGCGUGAGUGAUGAAGGUCUUCGGAUCGUAAAACUCUGUUAUUAGGGAAGAACAAAUGUGUAAGUAACUAUGCACGUCUUGACGGUACCUAAUCAGAAAGCCACGGCUAACUACGUG
rnacentral:rRNA from 1 species